rnacentral:rRNA from 1 species
GCUUACGGCCAUACCACCCUGAGCGCGCCCGAUCUCGUCUUUCGUCGAGUCUCGAAGCUAAGCAGGGUCGGGUCCUGGUUAGUACUUGGAUGGGAGACCGCCUGGGAAUACCAGGUGCUGUAAGCU